AUUUUAUAGAAAAAGAAAUUGAAGUGUCAUGAACUUGAAGCUUCAAAUAACUUGUCUAAGGAAUGCUAUCAGCUGUGGGUAGCAGGGGCAGCAGAGCAGGGGCUUGACCCUGGACCUCUGCAGAUUCUAGAGCCUGAACUCUUCACUGUGGAGGGUUUGGAGUAUGAGGUCUCUCAGAUGCUGACUGUUCUUCUUUCUUAUGAGUUUGGCAGAAAAUGCACUUUCUUUGGCUCCAGAUGGCCACUGUAGCCAGCCCAGGUCCAUGUGGAAUGAAGGCCAAGGCAGGACUCCUGGUACCUGGUGGUGGGAAUUCACUGUGCACAGCCAACCUGACCUGGAGAAGCAACCAGAUAAGAACCUGAAGGAUGGCCAGCAUUUCUGCAGUAGAGGAGCCCUCUGGGACUGGCAGCAGCUGCUUUCUAAAUUGGUAUGGUAACCACCUGGUUCCGGUUGGUCUGGGACUUUCCUGAUUUUAGCACUGAAAUUCCCACGUCUUGGGAAACCCCUCAGUGCUGAGCAAUCUGGAAUGGUUGGUCACCUUGCCAGGUUGCCCUUCACACUCGGGAAUUCCAGAACAUUUGGCUGGUGCAGUAGGCCCGUGGUCCUCAAGUUCAGAUGAAGAAUGACGACAUCGGCAAGCCUGCAUGGCCAGUUACCAAUGAGGACACCUGGUCCCCCUCAGACUGAGCCAGGAAGAAUCAAGUGUGGCCAAGAAUCAGUGCUUUCCCCAGGGCCUUUUUGUGUACAUUGAAGUUUGGAUAAAAUUCUCAGAUGAUAAAAUUCCAGUCCCAGGACGGGGAUGGUGAUAACAGCCCCCGUGGUCUGGGUGUGGCAGGACAGGACCAUUUGUCUUUGGAUAAUAAAUGACCACCUCAGGUUCCUCGUGCAUUAAGUAGAGAUAAUUAAAGGAUAUGCAGCCCAGAGCCCCUGACGUCUACUGAAUGUCUGGUAAAUGUUACUUCUCCUUCUUUAGGCCUUGAGAGCCACUUCAAGAACCGAGCAUAAAAAGCAGUUUUGCUCAUGUAGCAAAAUAUUUUCCCAGGAGGACCCCAAUUAAAAAAAUCUUUCAUAAAGUUCUUGAACUUAGUAUCUGAAAAAUAAAGAAUAUGCCUUGUUUACUUCUAGAUUAUUCCUCUUCGUGACUCAGCUGUUAGAAAGCUCAAGUAGUGAGGACUUAAUCAUAUAAAAAGCUACUCUUGGGCAGCAAGUUUGUAUUGUCCUUUAUUUUCAGUGCUGGGGAUUGAACCCAGGACCUCCAGCUCAUGGGAUCUACGGCUGAGCCCCAUUCGCAGUCCUAUAGGUAAUCUUUUGAUUUUUUUUUUUGGGUGGUCCUG
rnacentral:lncRNA from 1 species